rnacentral:lncRNA from 1 species
GAGUUGAGGCGCUGGUUUGGUGGCGCGUUUUCUAGCGAAGUCCCACGUGAAGGAUAGCGGUGGCCGGAGCAGGUGAUUUACAUUGUGAAAGGAAAAAGAAGAGGAAGGAGUCCUGACUGGGGAUAGUGUGGACAGCCCCACCCCACCCUGGCAGAGAAAACCACAGCUGAACAGUGACAUCUCUCCACCAUAACACAAACAUGGCAGGCGCACACAGCAAUCCAUCAUGGAGCAGGCAUCUGUUCAAAGCUGUCCUAAUGGUCCUAGGGGCCCUUCUCCUCGUCCACUCAGCAUCAGCCCAGACUCAUCGAGAGUUUGCCUCACCUGGCCAACAGAAGAGGGAGUCCUCAGCUG